GAACGCGAUGGAGGCGCCCCCGCAGCUGGAGACAGAAGCACCAGAGUGACCUCUGCUCAGCCACUGAGGCUCAGGGAACUCUUCCUUACUAUGUGGGCAGGAAACUCCUCCCAUGAACUGGACUCAUGAACUGGACCCUCUGUUGUCCUAACAAACACCAACCUGUUUGCCAGUUGUGAAAGAGUGGAAAUGGGCUUUAUUCUUGCUGUGAUUGCCAUCAUCCUCAGGUGGGGACCCCCAAACCACUCAAGAUACUUGAACUACACUGUAAGAAUCCAUAAAUUAUUUCUUAAAUUAGCCAUGAAAUUGUAAAAGGUGUCUCUAUCUGUGAAAUUCCUGGGACCAAUGUACGAUAAGGCAGGUACAAGUGUGUAGCAUAGAAAGUGAGAAGGUCAAGUUUCUCCUCUACUCUGGGCUGGCAAGAAUUCAGUUUAACUUAGAAAGGUAAGAUGGAGUCAGAACUUUAAACUCUGGGGAGCCCCUCAAAACCCCUCAAAGGUUUUGAACUGGGAAGUGAUAUAACAGCAAACAUCUGUUGAGUACUCAAGCCCUGUGUUAAGUGCAUUGCCUGCAUUAAUCUUAAUGAUGUCCCUGUUUUUACAGAUUAGGAAACUGAGGAUCAGAGAAGGUAAAUGACUUGCCCAAGGACACACAGCAAGGCACAGAACUGGGAGUCCAACCAAGCUUAAGUCCAAAGCACCACUCUUACCCUUUCGUAUAGGACGGGCAGCUAUACUACUGUUUGGACUGGGCCAGCAAAAGCUCUCAACCCCCUCUGAGCAGGGACAAGUAAAGGACCACCAAGUCACCUGGGACCGGGAAGCAUCUCCAGGUCAUGGUCUCCAAGUACCAGGCAACUUGCAAUGAGGUCUCCCAGCCACUGGAGGCCAGCAUUACCACUCAGCAGAUGCCACAUAUCCACAGAAAUGGCCGAAGAAAGAAGGUCCUUGGGAUUUUCAUACAAAGCAGAAAAGCUCACCCUUUGAGCUCACCCUUUGAUGGUACCCCCUGGCCCAACAGAAAAUGCACAAGAAUUAAAAAAAAAAGACAAUUAUUAAAAUACUGGCUUCGGUUUCUUUUUUCCUUUCAAAUCUCCUGCAAGUGCUUCACUUAUUUAUAUGCAGCACUGGCUUUUCUUUUUUCCAUGAACCUAUUCAAACUCAAAUCUUCAUUAGAUGUCCCAGUUCCAGCCAGCCCUCCAGCAUCUUUCCAUUCAGAUGGAUGGAAAGUACAUCAUCUUCUCAGGUUGACUCAGUCUAUAAAUGAGGGGCUAGCAAUUUCCCACCGAAAGUCCGCACCCUGACAUGAAGAAAUGGGGCCAAAGGCCAUCUGAUUUCCUAAGUCCGCACCCUGACAUGAAGAAAUGGGGCCG
rnacentral:lncRNA from 1 species